rnacentral:rRNA from 1 species
GGCGGCGUGCUUAACACAUGCAAGUCGAGUGCGCGCCUGUAGCAAUACAGGUGGCGCACGGCGCACGGGUGCGUAACACGUGGGUAAUCUGCCCUUCGAUGGGGAAUAACUCGCCGAAAGGCGAGCUAAUUCCGCAUAACAUUCCGAGAACUUUGGUUUUUGGAUUCAAAGGCGUAAGUCGUCGGAGGAGGAGCCCGCGCACGAUUAGCUAGUUGGUGAGGUAAUGGCUCACCAAGGCUAUGAUCGUUAGCUGGUCUGAGAGGAUGGCCAGCCACACUGGAACUGAGACACGGUCCAGACUCCUACGGGAGGCAGCAGUGGGGAAUCUUGCACAAUGGGCGAAGGCCUGAUGCANCGACGCCGCGUGGGGGAUGAAGCUUUUCGGAGUGUNAACCCCUUUCGACCCGGACGAAUGCCCCGCAAGGGGACUGACGGUACGGGU